AACUGUCGUCACUACUGCUCACCCACCAGCACAGAACUGGGUGACAUCCUGGGGACUCACCUCACUCACUGGCUGGGAAAGAGGUGAGUCACUGUAGUUGUUGGACAGCUCAGGGGAUUCCCAUGUGGGUUCCUUCCUGCUAAAAAGAAAGCAAAAGUUACCCAGCAAGACAGCUACUGAGGGCAAGGCAGAAGUUGGGGGUGUCCCUUGCACAAACUGAGGAGGACCCACACAGCAUCUGCUCACUCCGCAAGUACUGGGAUCAGCCAAGAAACCCAUCUUUAGUAGAGUCUUAGGCUCUGCAUGGGGCAUGGUGGCAUUUGUGCUGAAGAUGCCUGAGGUGACAGAUUGAAACAGCUGUAUUAGGUAUCUAAUGGAUCCCUCUCUCAUUUCACUGUCUCGGAGUCCAACAGUUUGGAAUGACUAUGUGCAUUUGUGGUGCACAAUGAAGAAGAAUGUGUUAAGAUGGUUCAUGGACAGGAAUGUCUUCUAAGGAUGCCUUACAGUGCUUGGCACUUCAGCUAGAAGCGAAGGAAAAAGGGGUUUUGCACAUGCCAGGCCAGUGCACACCUCCAAAGGAACAUAACUUCAAACUGCUGGUACAGUGCAAAGCUGCAGUACAACAGAAUCUGAACCUGAAUUCUAUCUCAGGACCCCAAAGGCGUGGCCUGGAAGACACGUGGGCUGGUGUACCGACUAGUGUUGGGGACACUGGCACAGUUUGCUCAGAAGUAAUGUAGUGCAGACCCGCUGGCAUCAGUAGGCUCUGCAUUCCCUUCUCUCCACUAGUACAGUACCCGUGCAUGCAUGAGGGGGCGGGUGUCGCCUGCGCCACUCUCCUCUCAGAUUUCCGUGCACCUUCCCUCCGCCCCCAGCUCCCCUAAAGGUCCCGACUCUUCUCUCAGACUCUCCCCUCCUCUGUCCUCCCCUUCCUUCUCUAGUCUGGGUCCCCCACUAUCUUCUCUCAGGGUCCCCCACUUUCUUAGGUCCUGCCCUCUCCUCUCCAGGUCCCUCGCUCUUGUCUCCUCUAAGGGCCCCCUCUCCGUUCCCUUUGGCCCCCAUGUUCUUCCCGACCCCGGCACUCUUCCCUUCGCGUGCCCACAGGACU